UGGUGGAGUGAUUUGUCUGGUUAAUUCCGUUAACGAACGAGACCUCGACCUGCUAAAUAGUUUUGUGUUAUCUCCGGGUAACAUCUAGACUUCUUAGAGGGACUAUCGGUGCGUAGCCGAUGGAAGUUCGAGGCAAUAACA
rnacentral:rRNA from 1 species